UCAGAAGAUCAGUGCCAUAUUGUUUGUGCUGCUCGUGUGUGUGACCCUCAGAAGAUCAGUGCCAUAUUGUUUGUGCUGCUCGUGUGUGUGACCCUUGGCAGCUUCUGGCUUUCUAUAUACCAUGACCUCAGUGCCUCCGCAAACCGAGGCACACGAAAGAGGGAUUCGGUUGCUGUUGUUGGACAACCGUCCCGGAUUUAUCACUGUCAAAAUCAAAACCAGGGUCAAACGCCGUAGACUGUAGAGAAUAUUAAAAGCAGCAUACUAGGCAAACGACGGCUAAACAUGACUGUUACUGCUUGGGAUGGAUCAUUGCAAUUGUCUCAAGGGGAAAGAACAGUUCCUUGGCAGAUGAUAUGAUAAAAUUAUUACGCUGAAUGACUAUUCCUUUGACUGAUCCCGCGGGCCGACAACCGUUGAGCCAUCACCUCUUGAAUAAUAUAAGUUCUAAUAAUCAAUCAGCAAACAACGGCUGAACACUGAAGGAAAACGCAAAGGGUUACUUACUAUUUGGAACGGAUCACUGCGACAGUCUCCACA
rnacentral:lncRNA from 1 species